UACGUAGGGUGCAAGCGUUGUCCGGAAUUAUUGGGCGUAAAGGGCUCGUAGGCGGUCCGUCACGUCGGCUGUGAAAACCCGCAGCUUAACUGCGGGCUUGCAGUUGAUACGGGCAGGCUAGAGUUCGGUAGGGGAGACUGGAAUUCCUGGUGUAGCGGUGAAAUGCGCAGAUAUCAGGAGGAACACCGGUGGCGAAGGCGGGUCUCUGGGCCGAUACUGACGCUGAGGAGCGAAAGCGUGGGGAGCGAACAGG
rnacentral:rRNA from 1 species